rnacentral:rRNA from 1 species
GACGAACGCUGGCGGCGUGCUUAACACAUGCAAGUCGAACGGAAAGGCCCUGCUUUUGUGGGGUGCUCGAGUGGCGAACGGGUGAGUAACACGUGAGUAACCUGCCCUUGUCUUUGGGAUAACUUCAGGAAACUGGGGCUAAUACCGGAUAGGAGCUCCUGCUGCAUGGUGGGGGUUGGAAAGUUUCGGCGGUUGUGGAUGGACUCGCGGCUUAUCCGCUUGUUGGUGGGGUAGUGGCUUACCAAGGCUUUGACGGGUAGCCGGCCUGAGAGGGUGACCGGCCACAUUGGGACUGAGAGACGGCGCAGACUCCUACGGGAGGCAGCAGGGGGGAAUAUUGCACAAUGGGCGGAAGCCUGAUGCAGCAACGCCGCGUGCGGGAUGACGGCCUUCGGGUGGUAAACCGCUUUCGCCUGUGACGAAGCGUGAGUGACGGUAAUGGGUAAAGAAGCACCGGCUAACUACGUG